GAUGAACGCUGGCGGCGUGCCUAAUACAUGCAAGUCGAGCGAACGGACGAGAAGCUUGCUUCUCUGAUGUUAGCGGCGGACGGGUGAGUAACACGUGGAUAACCUACCUAUAAGACUGGGAUAACUUCGGGAAACCGGAGCUAAUACCGGAUAAUAUUAUGAACCGCAUGGUUCAAAAGUGAAAGACGGUCUUGCUGUCACUUAUAGAUGGAUCCGCGCUGCAUUAGCUAGUUGGUAAGGUAACGGCUUACCAAGGCAACGAUGCAUAGCCGACCUGAGAGGGUGAUCGGCCACACUGGAACUGAGACACGGUCCAGACUCCUACGGGAGGCAGCAGUAGGGAAUCUUCCGCAAUGGGCGAAAGCAUGACGGAGCAACGCCGCGUGAGUGAUGAAGGUCUUCGGAUCGUAAAACUCUGUUAUUAGGGAAGAACAUAUGUGUAAGUAACUGUGCACAUCUUGACGGUACCUAAUCAGAAAGCCACGGCUAACUACGUG
rnacentral:rRNA from 1 species